ensembl:snRNA U6 U6 spliceosomal RNA
GCACAAAAUGAAAUGCAUAGCAGAAACAUUGGAACAUUUCAGAGAAGAUUAGCAUGGCUCAUGCACAAAGAUGACAGGCAAAUUCCUGAAGCAUUCCAUACUUUU